rnacentral:rRNA from 1 species
UACGUAGGUGGCAAGCGUUAUCCGGAUUUAUUGGGCGUAAAGAGAACGCAGGCGGUCUUUUAAGUCUGAUGUGAAAGCCUUCGGCUUAACCGGAGUAGUGCAUUGGAAACUGGGAGACUUGAGUGCAGGAGAGGAGAGUGGAACUCCAUGUGUAGCGGUGAAGUGCGUAGAUAUAUGGAAGAACACCAGUGGCGAAAGCGGCUCUCUGGUCUGUAACUGACGCUGAGGUUCGAAAGCGUGGGUAGCAAACAGG